UCCCCUUUGUAGAGGUUGUAUAACAGGGAUCUAAUGCCUCUUCUAAAGAGAACCACUUUCCCCUUACUGGAGCCACCAAAGAACUUGGAUUCUAAUGAGAAGCUGUUCCAAAUUAGGUUCACUAAGGAGAUAUUCCGAGAUUAUGAGGAAUACCUGAAUAGGCUCAACCUCUAUCGUCAAAAGGUCUGGACUUGUGAGGUGUCUGGAAAGUCUAAUCUUACCUAUGAGGAGGCUUUGGUCUGUGAAAAACAAGCUGCAGUGAAGGCUCAACAGUUGCCAAAAGAGCUGAUAGCUCCUGUUCUCCGGAUGAUUCAACAAUACAGAACUCUUAGCUUUACUGAUCUUAUAGAGAAAGUAUACAGUAGCCUGCAAUUGGAUCCUUUUGAAGGGCUAGAAUUACAUGCUAUGAAAGAUGGUUCUGAGGCUGCUUACAAGGUCUUGAAGGUUAUAGGUUCUGGUAGCACCAAAUUGUGCGAGGUGGGUUGGCUUGGUCAAGACAAUGCAGUAGUCAACACUUCACUGGUUAAAGCUGAUGAUCUAAUUUGUAAGAAGGCACCUGCUAGCCGUAAUACACUGAAAUUUUUUAUUAGGGAAUUCUAUCAAAAGGUGUCAUGGAUAGUAAAUGCAGAUCUUGCAAAGAAAUAUGGGAUAGAUAUUGAGCCCCCAGAAGACAUUAUGGUAACCAUCCUUUCUCAUUUCCCUAUCCUUUCUCAUUUCCUUCCUCGACCCCGUUCCUCGACCCGGUCGACCCAGGAACUUUGUGACUAUGGUCACAGCUCCACAAAGCCCGCUGCCGAAGCUCCAUCUCCCUCCGCCGUCCUCGCGACCCGGCAACCUCUUGCGGCGGCCGCGCGCAGCCUGCUCGCCGCCCCUGCCACCGCCAGCUGCACCCACACGCCUCACCGCACGAAGGCCGCCACUGGCGCACGCGCCGCCACCUCCGCCGGCCUGCACGCGCUGCACCACGCCAACGCCCUGCCGGUGCCUCCGCUGGCCCGCACGCCCAGGCUUGACGCGCCGGCCGCCGCGCCUCAGCAGGCCCGCUCGCCUCUCCUCCUCCGCUGGCCCGCAUGCACCGCGCAAGCCACCGCGCCUCAACAGGCCCACGCGCCGCACAUGGGCGCCAGCACCGGCCGCCGCAAGCGCCCCCUGCGGGCCCCUGCCUGCGACACCGGCGCCGCACCUGCCGGGCCUGACAGCGGCGCCCCCGAAGUGGAAGCCGCGCCAACGGAUCUGCCCCCAGGGGUACCGGAUCCGGCUCCCGGGGCGCCGGAUCUGAGGCCCCGGCCGGCGCCGCCUGCCCGACUGUCGCCGCCGCACCACGCGUCUGCCGCCGUCCGCGCGUGUAGCCGCCGGAUCCGGCAGAAGCCGAGCCAGAUCCGUGGCCCUCGAGCUUGUCUGCCAUGGGAGAAGCCGAAUGGUGAAGGUUUGUACAAAGGGAGGAAACGAUUUGCAAAUGGAGAAGGUGCCAGCAAAAAGUUGAAGAAAGAUGAGAAGCUACUAGAGUUGCCAGUUAAAUAUCCAAUUGAUGAUCUUUCAGUAAAGCCUGCAAUAGAUGAUCCUGUUUUGUCAAAGAGACCUCCACUAUCUAGAGAUUUUAGAGUGCCUACAAAUUCUGUGGGAGACCUCCUUAUGAUCUGGGACUUCUGUUCGUCGUUUGGGAGGCUUCUAUGCUUGUCACCAUUUUCCCUCUCAGAUCUGGAGAAUGCAAUUUGCUACAAAGAAAGCAACCUUGUUCUUGUGGUGGAAAUACAUGCUGCACUUUUCCACUUGCUCAUUAAAGAUGAAGGUGAAUAUUUUACAUUUCUCCUGAACAAGAAAAAGAUACUAAAGGUGAUUUCUUCUUCAGUUUCUUAAUUCAGGUAACUUGUCACCUGGGCUGAGUAUCUAUGCAAUUUCUUGGAGAUGAUAAGAAAAGAAGAAUUCUCCAGUAAGGUGUCAACGAUAUGAAGGGGUCAUUAUGGUCUUCUUGACACUGGCCUAAAGCUUAAAAUUCUAAGGGAACUGGUAGAGGAAGCCAUUACAACUUCUGCUGUACGAGAGAAACUAAAUGAAUGGAUUGACCAGCAACAAGCACUUGCAGCUGCAAAAAGGGAGGACGCUAGAAAGAAUAGGGAAGAGCAGAAGCUUAACAUGGAAGGGGUGCCAGAAAAUGAAAGAAAUCACACCGAUACUAUACAAAAUGAUAAGGAGUGUUCUAGGAAUCAGCGUGGGGGGAAAGAGGAAAACGGCUUGAACAUUCUUUUGUCCGGCAAGACGGGAGAUGGGAAAAUGUUUCUGAGACGACACCUCGAAACUGAAAUGGAGCAACAAUCUGUACGAUCCAGUCAUCUUGGAAAAGAUAGAUUGCAUAAUAGGUAUUGGUUUUUUAGGCGUGAAGGGAGACUUUUUGUUGAAAGUGCAGAUUCCAAAGAUUGGGGUUACUACAGCACUAAGGAAGAGUUUGAUGCACUUCUUGGAUCAUUCAACAUCAAAGGCAUAAGGGAGAGAGCACUUAAGCGUCAGCUUGAGAAGUCCUACAAUAAGAUAAGUAAUGCUUUGGAAAAGAGAUCGAAGGACGUCGAGCAAAAAACAUUACUUGAAGAGGUUGACUUGCGGCGUUCCACUCGUGUACAUGCCCAACCAAAAGAGGAUGACCCUUCCAUGUCAUUCCUCAAGUAUAUCAACAAAUGGAAGCAAAAAUGAACAAAGAAGUUACUAGGGUUGUCCUUUCUUCAUGGUCUACUCUUUACUGGUCCAAUUUGAUUAACCUUGAUGCGCCAAAAUGAGUAUUCGCCAUUUGGGAGAUUUUGGAAGCUGAGCCAAAGGUUCUUGAUUUUGAGCUAUUUGUUCAACCUUUAAGCAGCUCUAAGUCAAAGCUGCCUGCUAAUUGGUAUCGUUCCUGUAAAUGUUACUAUUACUUAGUUUCGUUUUCUUCUUAGAGAUUCGUUUUCUUCUUAGAGAUGGUAAUAUAGAGCUGAAGAUACCAUUAGCAUGAUCUAUGCAUAUGGCCAAUCAGCUAAUAGAUUUAAUGCAAUUGGUAGUUGGGCGAGUUCCAUCUUAUUCACAUUCUA